rnacentral:rRNA from 1 species
CCUACGGGUGGCAGCAGUGAGGAAUAUUGGUCAAUGGACGAAAGUCUGAACCAGCCAAGCCGCGUGAAGGAAGGCUGCUCUAUGGGUUGUAAACUUCUUUUAUAUGGGAGUAAAAUAAUACACGUGUGGCAUUUUGUAAGUAGCAUACGAAUAAGGAUCGGCUAACUCCGUGCCAGCAGCCGCGGUAAUACGGAGGAUCCGAGCGUUAUCCGGAUUUAUUGGGUUUAAAGGGAGCGUAGGGGGAUUGGUAAGUCAGUGGUGAAAGUUGGGGGCUCAACCGUGGAAUUGCAGAUGAUACUGGCAGUCUAGAGUACAGUAGGGGUAGGCGGAAUUCGUGGUGUAGCGGUGAAAUGCUUAGAUAUCACGAAGAACACUGAUUGCGAAGGCAGCUUACUGGACUUCAACUGACGCUGAGGCACGAAAGUGUGGGGAGCAAACAGGAUUAGAUACCCGAGUAGUC